rnacentral:rRNA from 1 species
GACGAACGCUGGCGGCGUGCUUAACACAUGCAAGUCGAGCGGUAAGGCCCUUUCGGGGGUACACGAGCGGCGAACGGGUGAGUAACACGUGGGUGACCUGCCCUCAGCUCUGGGAUAAGCCUGGGAAACCGGGUCUAAUACUGGAUAUGACUCCAUGACGCAUGUUGUGGGGUGGAAAGACCUUGUGCGGCUGAGGAUGGGCCCGCGGCCUAUCAGCUUGUUGGUGGGGUGAGGCCUACCAAGGCGACGACGGGUAGCCGGCCUGAGAGGGCGACCGGCCACACUGGGACUGAGACACGGCCCAGACUCCUACGGGAGGCAGCAGUGGGGAAUCUUGCGCAAUGGGCGAAANCCUGACGCAGCGACGCCGCGUGAGGGAUGAC